rnacentral:rRNA from 1 species
AGCGAACGCUGGCGGCAGGCCUAAUACAUGCAAGUCGAACGCACCUUCGGGUGAGUGGCGGACGGGUGAGUAACGCGUGGGAACGUGCCCUUUGGUACGGAACAACUGAGGGAAACUUCAGCUAAUACCGUAUGUGCCCUUCGGGGGAAAGAUUUAUCGCCAUUGGAGCGGCCCGCGUUGGAUUAGCUAGUUGGUGGGGUAAAAGCCCACCAAGGCUACGAUCCAUAGCUGGUCUGAGAGGAUGAUCAGCCACACUGGGACUGAGACACGGCCCAGACUCCUACGGGAGGCAGCAGUAGGGAAUCUUGCGCAAUGGUCGAAAGCCUGACGCAGCCAUGCCGCGUGAAUGAUGAAGGUCUUAGGAUUGUAAAAUUCUUUCACCGGGGAAGAUAAUGACGGUACCCGGAGAAGAAGCCCCGGCUAACUUCGUGCCAGCCGCCGCCGUAAUAC